UAAUUCUUAAAGUUGGGUUUCUGGUAAAUUUCUUGCAAGUGUAUUGGUGUGAAGAAUGUGUAUAAAGAGCGGGAAUGGGGUUAAGAAUAGGGGUUGGAGGAAAAGAUUUCUAGGGAUAAACUAGAAAAGAGAAGUACAGUAUGGGGGGAAGAUGGGGCAAGGAAACUCAAAGUAUGAGGAAGUUGGUAGACAAUAAAACAUACAUCAAGAAAUAGAGGAUAUAAAGGGGGAAAGAAGAAAAGACUGAAAAUAAUUGAGGUUUGGUCUACACUACAAAGUGAGGUCAAUGUAAGUUGUGUUGUGUCAACUUAUUUGUGCUUGUGUCUGCACUCAAAUGUCUUCUAGUGCCCUAAAAGUCCCAUUAUGGUGACACAGUAAUGCCACUUCCCCAAACAGCGUUGAGCCAUGUGGUUGACGCAGUGCAAAUGUAGACACUGUGACCUAUGUUGACCUUAACAGUCCUCCAGCAGCUGUCCCACAAUGCCCAACAGCGACUGCUCUUGUCAUAGUUAUGAACUCCACUACCCAAGGGUCUCACAGCCCAGAAGUCAGCCAUCCUGCCCAAUGCCCCUGCAUAUUUUUGAAAUGCCUUUUCCUGAUUGCCCAGUUUGGUGGGCACACCCAACAGCUCUCCCUUGUGUGGAACUGCCCAACUGACCAUGCCAGCUAGACACAUACCUGGAGUAGACUGGAGAUAUUGGAUCUCUUGGGCCUUUGAGGAGAAGAGGCUGUUCAGGUGCAGCUACGGACUAGUCAUAGAAAUAGGGAUAUCUACGAAAAGAUUACACAGAGGAUGCAGGUGAGGAGUGGAACAGGAAUUUGCAGCAGUGCUGUGUGAAAGCGAAGGAACUGCAGGAGAAAUAUAGCAAGGUCAGGGAGGACAACAGUUGAUCUGGUGUCAAGACCACUCUUACAAUUAGCUGCAUGGCAUACUUGGCAGAGACCCUACCAGCACCUCACUGUGGAUGCCUCAGUGGAAUCCAGGACAGACCUCUGCUGUCAACAGUGAGGAGGAGGAACACCUGUGGGGGUGGCUAGCUAUGCCACAAGCCAGAAUCUGUUUGAGAGUCCAUCACUGUAUAGCCAGUCCCACCAACUGAGCAUGGAUGAGCCUGAUGAAAGGAAAGGAAUCUCAGCUUCUGCCAUUGCAGCUUUGAGAGGUCCCCAGUCUGGAACAUCUGACCCUGAAGAGGAGAAAGACACUAACUAGAGAGGACGUAGUCAAGAUCCUGCAAGCCAGGGAUGCAUCAGACUGUGAAGAGAGAGGCCGGGGGGGGGGGGGGUGAAUACAGGAGGCAGCCUGGAAAAAAGUCCCAGCAGGAAAAGGAGAGGGACAUACACCAGGACAUAAUGGGGCUUCUGAGGCAGCAAACACAAGUGCUGUAGAUCCGUGUUGACCAAGCAUGCAGUCAAUGGAGAACUCCAUUGCAGCAUCUCUACACCCUCCAACAUUCCACGAAGCCUGUUGGGCUGCAUCCCUACCACUCCUCACUGGGGGACAGUAAGGAAACCUUCAGCAUCACAUAUACUGACCUGAGAGACACGACUGGUGUAUGUUUGGCAGAAAUGGACAUGAAUGUUUUCUUCUAUUCUAAUUUUAAAAUUCUGUUCUGUUCAUUUAUUGUUGGCACUGUCUGGUUUUUAAUUACACACUUUUUUUGCACUA